rnacentral:rRNA from 1 species
CCUACGGGUGGCAGCAGUGGGGGAUAUUGCACAAUGGGGGAAACCCUGAUGCAGCGACGCCGCGUGGGCGAAGAAGUAUUUCGGUAUGUAAAGCCCUAUCAGCAGGGAAGAAGGAAUGACGGUACCUUAAUAAGAAGCACCGGCUAAAUACGUGCCAGCAGCCGCGGUAAUACGGAUGGUGCAAGCGUUAUCCGGAUUUACGGGGGGGAAAGGGAGCGCAGGCGGCAAGGCAAGUCUGAUGGGAAAGCCCGGGGCCCAACCGCGGGACUGCAUUGGGAACUAACGGGCUGGAGUGCAGGAGAGGUAAGUGGAAUUCCUAGUGUAGCGGUGAAAUGCGUAGAUAUUAGGAGGAACACCAGUGGCGAAGGCGGCUUACUGGACGGUGACUGACGCUGAGGCUCGAAAGCGUGGGGAGCAAACAGGAUUAGAUACCCCAGUAGUC